rnacentral:rRNA from 1 species
UACGAAGGGGGCUAGCGUUGCUCGGAAUCACUGGGCGUAAAGCGCACGUAGGCGGCUUCUUAAGUCAGGGGUGAAAUCCUGGAGCUCAACUCCAGAACUGCCUUUGAUACUGAGGAGCUUGAGUCCGGGAGAGGUGAGUGGAACUGCGAGUGUAGAGGUGAAAUUCGUAGAUAUUCGCAAGAACACCAGUGGCGAAGGCGGUUCUCUAGUACGGUACUGACGCUGAGACGCGAAAGCGUGGGGAGCGAACAGG